GGAAUUCCUGGUGUAGCGGUGAAAUGCGCAGAUAUCAGGAGGAACACCGAUGGCGAAGGCAGGUCUCUGGGCAUUAACUGACGCUGAGGAGCGAAAGCAUGGGGAGCGAACAGGAUUAGAUACCCUGGUAGUCCAUGCCGUAAACGUUGGGCACUAGGUGUGGGGGACAUUCCACGUUUUCCGCGCCGUAGCUAACGCAUUAAGUGCCCCGCCUGGGGAGUACGGCCGCAAGGCUAAAACUCAAAGGAAUUGACGGGGGCCCGCACAAGCGGCGGAGCAUGCGGAUUAAUUCGAUGCAACGCGAAGAACCUUACCAAGGCUUGACAUGAACCGGUAAUACCUGGAAACAGGUGCCCCGCUUGCGGUCGGUUUACAGGUGGUGCAUGGUUGUCGUCAGCUCGUGUCGUGAGAUGUUGGGUUAAGUCCCGCAACGAGCGCAACCCUCGUUCUAUGUUGCCAGCGCGUUAUGGCGGGGACUCAUAGGAGACUGCCGGGGUCAACUCGGAGGAAGGUGGGGACGACGUCAAAUCAUCAUGCCCCUUAUGUCUUGGGCUUCACGCAUGCUACAAUGGCCGGUACAAAGGGUUGCGAUACUGUGAGGUGGAGCUAAUCCCAAAAAGCCGGUCUCAGUUCGGAUUGGGGUCUGCAACUCGACCCCAUGAAGUCGGAGUCGCUAGUAAUCGCAGAUCAGCAACGCUGCGGUGAAUACGUUCCCGGGCCUUGUACACACCGCCCGUCAAGUCACGAAAGUUGGUAACACCCGAAGCCGGUGGCCUAACCCUUGUGGGGGGAGCCGUCGA
rnacentral:rRNA from 1 species